GGGAGGCUGGGCCAGAGAGAGAGAGAGAGAUGUGAGAUAGACGAGAACUGUCCUCCAUUCUUUGAUCCCAAAGAAAGGAGAGCUGCUUCAAGACUGUCAGAAUAUAGGGAAGAGGUGGGAGAGAGAGAAAAAGGAAAGAAGAGAGCGAUAUCCUAAAAAGGGAAACAUAUCAUAAAAGGGGGAAGAGGAAAAUAAGAGAACAGGGCUGUGUGUGUGUGCUGGUGUUUGUAAUGUGCUAUAGAGGGCUUGCAGUUGCGUCACAAAUCACCAAGCAACCGCAUCAAGCGCCAUGUUGGAAGAUCAAACUCAGUCUGUUGGGAGUCCUCCAAUUGUUCACAUGGCUGGCUGUGUUUUGCUACCACAGGAAACUUCAGGAAGACAAUCCAUUAUUUCGUUUUUUAUGAGGACCAAGAAGACAAAGGCAGUGGGAGAACCUAUUCAAAAAAAUACAGAGAGCCGUUAAACCCUGUCUGCAGAUGAAGAGGUUCCAAUGAAUGUCCCAAGAGAAUAAGGGUACAUCCUUGUAUACCAUGGAUUAUAUCUUUACCUAUAUGUGUACCAAAAAAUACAGUUUUCAAGUCACACAAUGUAUAAACCUAUUACAAAUGGAGCAGGCCAACCCUGCUGGGUGUGCACGCUUCUGAUCCCAACCCAGCACUAACACACCUGAUUUAAUGUAUAAAACCUAAUUAGUUAAUAAUCAAGUAUCAAGUGUGCUAUUGCUGGUCUGGAACAGAGGUCUGCUCACCCAGUAGAUCAGGAUUCAGUGGAACGAGGUUGGCCACCUCUGGUAUUUACUUUUUUUGUUCACCUGAAAUUAUUCUUUAGUAAUAAUAGCCUACUUGUUACUAAGAUUUCUGACCUUUACAUACAGUACUAGUCAAAAGUUUGGACACCCCUAUUCAUUCAAGGGUUUUUCUUAAUUUGACUAUUUUCUACAUUGUAGAAUAAUAGUGACGACAUCAAAACUAUGAAAUAACACAUAUUGAAUCAUUGUGCAUCUGAAGCAAAGAAUAGCUUACUGUAACACACACACGGUUUACCUUUGUUCAGCUAUAUGUUCUCAAUUUAGAAAUGAUACCAGUAGACAAUGUAUGAGGCUAAUCCUUAUAAUAAAUGUUGUAUAUGCAUUGUGCA